UUCGGACUGCAGUCUGCAACUCGACUGCACGAAGUCGGAAUUGCUAGUAAUCGCGGAUCAGCAUGCCGCGGUGAAUACGUUCCCGGGCCUUGUACACACCGCCCGUCACACCAUGAGAGUCGGGAACACCCGAAGUCCGUAGUCUAACCGCAAGGAGGACGCGGCCGAAGGUGGGCUUGAUAAUUGGGGUGAAGUCGUAACAAGGUAGC
rnacentral:rRNA from 1 species